rnacentral:rRNA from 1 species
GGGUCAGUAGGUUGGUCGUGCCACCGGUACGUACUGGUCUCACUGAUUCCUCCUUCCUGAAGAACCGUAAUGCCAUUAAUUUGGUGUUGCGGGGAAACAGGACUGUUACUUUGAAAAAAUUAGAGUGUUUAAAGCAAGCUAACGCUUGAAUACAUUAGCAUGGAAUAACGAAAUGGGACGAUCGAUCCUAUUUUGUUGGUUUCUAGGAUUGACGUG